rnacentral:rRNA from 1 species
AGAUGAAUUCUCCCUGACUCCUGGAGAGUCCUGAAGGAACGUUGAAGACGACGACGUUGAUAGGCCGGGCGUGUAAGCGCAGCGAUGCGUUGAGCUAACCGGUACUAAUGAACCGUGAGGCUUAACCUUACAACGCCGAAGCUGUU